UCCCUGGUGGUCCAGUGGUUAGGACUCGGCGCUAUCACUGCAGUGACCCGGGUUCAAUCCCUGGUUAGGGAA